rnacentral:lncRNA from 1 species
ACAUUGGGGGGCAUGGGGUCAAUGGGGUCACGUUGGGGGCAAUGAGGACAUUGAGGUGACAUUGGGGACAUUGGGGUCACACUGGGGACAUCGGGGUGACAUUGGGGUCAAUGGGGUCACAUUGGGGUGGCAGUGGGGUCAAUGGGGUGACAUUGGGGACACCGGGGUGACAUUGGGGACAUUGGGGUCAUGUUGGGGACAAUGGGGUCACGUUGGGGUCACAAUGGGGUCAAACGGGGACACGUGGAUCCCAUUGGGGGCAACGCGACCCCAUGGACACAAUGAAAUCAAUGGGGCAGUGAGGCCACGCCCCCUUCAUUUGCAUACAGGCAGCGUGUUUCUUGGCUCCAACUUUGGGCCAUAAUUUAAUAAAAAUGUUUAAAAAAAAAAAAUUAUAAAAACGUUUUUAAAAAAACCCGAGAAAAGGAAGAUUAAAAACGGCCCACGAGGCCACGCCCACUCAGAAGGCCACGCCCCCAAGUGGGCGUGGCCGUUAGGGAAGAUCCCGCCCCCUUCAGUUCAGUGGGUGGGGCCAUGGGAGAUGAUGUCAUCAAGCUGCGCCACGUGGAGAACGUCAGGCCGAGGUGGCGGCCAUGUUGGAUUGGUAGCCAUCUUGGAGUGGCAGCCAUCUUGGAUUGGCGGCCAUCUUGGUGGGUGCCAUCUUGGAAUGGCGACCUUCUUGGUGGAGCCAGCCAUCUUGGAAUGGCAGCCAUCUCGUCACGACGCCCCUCAUGGCGGUGGCGGCCAUCUUGGCACAGCACCCCUCAUCCUGGCGGCGGCCAUCUUGCCCCGGUGGGCACCCAGUGGUCCGCAGCGCCACGUUGGGUGGGGGGUGACUCACAGAGGGGGUCCGUGGGCAGCACCUUUGGGUGCCUCCUCCCCCGUGCUGUGGGUGCUGCUGAGGAUGCACUGCAGCUGCUGCCCGCCCGGCUGCACCUCCGUGCACUGCAGCUCCCUGGGGGGCAACGGAGACGUCCCCCACUGUCCCCAUUGACCCCAACGUGACCCCAGUGCCCCACGGACCCCAAUUUGACCCCGUUGAUCCCAGUGACCCAAUGAACCCAAUGUCCCCACUGACCCCCCUGUCCCCAUUGACCCCAAUUCCACCCCGUUGAUCCCAGUGACCCAAUGAAGCCCCCUCCCCCAUCCCCCCACCCUCCCCAUUACCC